rnacentral:rRNA from 1 species
GGAUCAGUACGCCGGUUAUGCCUUAGGUAUGUACUAGUGUUACUGAUUCCUCCCUUCUGACGAACCGUCAUGCCAUUAAUUUAGUGUGGCGGGAAAUCAGGACUGUUACUUUGAAAAAAUUAGAGUGUUUAAAGCAGGCUCACGCUUGAAUACAUUAGCAUGGAAUAAUGAAAUAGGACGUUGAUCUUAUUUUGUUGGUUUCUAGGAUUGACGU